UUGAGCUGUAUGCGAUGAAAGUCGCACGUACAGUUCUUAGAAGAAAUAAAUAUUGUAAAAUAUUUAUUAGGCUUCAACAGACCCUAUGCAAUUUUACUAUAGUUAGUUAUAGUUCUAUUCAGAU
rfam:Dacryopinax sp. DJM-731 SS1 chromosome Tnknown DACRYscaffold_8, whole genome shotgun sequence.